rnacentral:rRNA from 1 species
AUUGAACGCUAGCGGGAUGCCUUACACAUGCAAGUCGAACGGCAGCAUAAGAGAGCUUGCUCUCUUGAUGGCGAGUGGCGAACGGGUGAGUAAUGUAUCGGAACGUGUCCUUUUGUGGGGGAUAACUACUCGAAAGAGUAGCUAAUACCGCAUAAUACCUGAGGGUGAAAGCGGGGGACUUUAGGGCCUCGCGCAGUUGGAGCGGCCGAUGACUGAUUAGCUAGUUGGUGGGGUAAAGGCCUACCAAGGCGACGAUCAGUAGCUGGUCUGAGAGGACGACCAGCCACAUUGGGACUGAGACACGGCCCAA